rnacentral:rRNA from 1 species
UACGAAGGGGGCUAGCGUUGCUCGGAAUCACUGGGCGUAAAGGGUGCGUAGGCGGGUCUUUAAGUCAGGGGUGAAAUCCUGGAGCUCAACUCCAGAACUGCCUUUGAUACUGAGGAUCUUGAGUUCGGGGAGAGGUGAGUGGAACUGCGAGUGUAGAGGUGAAAUUCGUAGAUAUUCGCAAGAACACCAGUGGCGAAGGCGGCUCACUGGCCCGAUACUGACGCUGAGGUGCGAAAGCGUGGGGAGCAAACAGG